UACGUAGGGGGCAAGCGUUGUCCGGAUUUAUUGGGCGUAAAGAGCGUGUAGGCGGCCAAACAGGUCAGCUGUGAAAACUCGAGGCUCAACCUCGAGACGUCGGUUGAAACCGUUUGGCUAGAGUCCGGAAGAGGAGAGUGGAAUUCCCGGUGUAGCGGUGAAAUGCGCAGAUAUCGGGAAGAACACCCGUGGCGAAAGCGGCUUCCUGGUCCAGCACCGACGUUCAGGCACGAAAGCGUGGGGAGCAAACAGG
rnacentral:rRNA from 1 species